ACGACUGCAACCUGCUUUCGAUACAUUAUCGUCUGCGGUACUUGUAGUGCUAAAUGAAUGUGGGCCCUCCGUGUGCGUGUGAACUAAUUGAACUAGCACUCCGUUGGUCACCGAACAAUC
rnacentral:snoRNA from 14 species